GACGAACGCUGGCGGCGUGCCUAACACAUGCAAGUCGAGCGGAGCCAACUAAACAAUCCCUUCGGGGUGCGUUUGGGGAAGCUUAGCGGCGGACGGGUGAGUAACGCGUGAGUAACCUGCCCAUUAGUGGGGAAUAACACAGAGAAAUUUGUGCUAAUACCGCAUACUGAAUAUUUACCGCAUGAUAGAUAUUUGAAAGAUUUAUCGCUAAUGGAUGGACUCGCGUCUGAUUAGAUAGUUGGUGAGGUAACGGCUCACCAAGUCGACGAUCAGUAGCCGAACUGAGAGGUUGAUCGGCCACAUUGGGACUGAUACACGGCCCAGACUCCUACGGGAGGCAGCAGUGGGGGAUAUUGCGCAAUGGGGGAAACCCUGACGCAGCAACGCCGCGUGCAGGAUGACGGCCUUCGGGUUGUAAACUGUUGUCGCAAGGGAAGAAUAAAUGACGGUACCUUGUGAGAAAGCCACGGCUAACUACGCGCCAGCAGCCGCAGUAACAC
rnacentral:rRNA from 1 species